UCUCCCAAGACCCAGUCCAUCUCACUCCCACACAGCCACUCAUGGACUCAUUUGCUACCUUUUCCAGAUGUCUCCAACCUGCCAUGGGCUGGGGGUACAGAGAGAAAUUGGUGAUGGGGUCUGCCUCCCGUGGGAGAGGCAGAUACCACAGUCGCAAACCCACUGUGUGCCUGGCGCCCUUGCGGUCACCCCAGAUUUUUCCCCACAUCCCUCUGUUCCACCCAGAGGCCACCUGCGUGCAGGCAUGGUGGAUGGUUGCUGUGUGCGGUGAUGGCCUCCUGGGAACUCUUGCUGGCCACAGAGUUAACCAGGAGGGACCAUCAACCUUGGAAGGCACAGCCCAGGAGGCCACAGCCCACAGCCGCUGCCCCAGGUGUCCACAAGCAUCUCAGCCCCUCCACAGCCCACGCAUCUCCUCUUUCAUUGGCUCAUGGGGAGUGAAGGACAACGUCUGAAUUAAAUGCCGUGCUUUAAACUGAAAGGGAAA
rnacentral:lncRNA from 1 species